rnacentral:lncRNA from 1 species
GGACAAGUUCAAGCAGAGGGUCCAUGUACCCAACAUAUCAUCCCUGAGGAUUGAGAACCUGGCCCCUGAGGACAGUGGGCAGUACUUUGCCGUCAUCACCUCUACUAAGGGAGAGGGGAUUUUCCAGGUUUUCUACCUCACUGUCUAUCAGCCUGUGCCUCACCCUGAGUUCCUGGCAAAGUCACUGUCUAUCACACCAGGCUUGUGUAACAUCACCCUGGAGUGUAGAGUUCCAGGGGCCACAGAGGACCUGAAUAUGACUUGGGAAAGCAAGGGCCUCCUUGGAGAGCUGGAGCAGAGAGAAACACCAGGACCAGCCCCCAACCCCUGGACCCUG